rnacentral:rRNA from 1 species
UUUGUCGGAGAGUUUGAUUCUGGCUCAGGACAAACGCUGGCGGCGUGCAUAAAACAUGCAAGUCGAACGAACCAAAGCCCGCAAGGGCUGAGGUGAGUGGCGAACGGCUGAGUAACACGUAGGUGACCUGCCCCGAAGUGGGGGACAACUCGUCGAAAGACGAGCUAAUACCGCAUGUGAUCACUGAUUCACUUCAGUGCUCAAAGUCGCAAGACGCUUUGGGAGGGGCCUGCGGCCGAUUAGCUAGUUGGUGGGGUAAUGGCCUACCAAGGCUGCGAUCGGUAGUUGGUCUGAGAGGAUGACCAGCCAGACUGGGACUGAGACACGGCCCAGACUCCUACGGGAGGCAGCAGUUAGGAAUUUUGUGCAAUGGGGGAAACCCUGACACAGCCACGCCGCGUGCGGGAUGAAGGCCUUCGGGUCGUAAACCGCUUUUCUCGAGGAAGACACCCGACGGUACUCGAGGAAUAAGCAACGGCUAACUACGUGCCAGCAGCCGCGGUAAUACGUAGGUUGCGAGCGUUGUCCGGAUUUACUGGGCGUAAAGCGCGCGCAGGCGGUUUCGAAAGUCCACGGUGAAAGCUCCCGGCCCAACUGGGAGAGGCCCGUGGAAACUCCGGAACUUGAAGGCAGGAGAGGCAGAUGGAAUUUCCGGUGUAGCGGUAAAAUGCGUAGAUACCGGAAGGAACACCAGUGGCGAAGGCGAUCUGCUGGCCUGUUCUUGACGCUCAGGCGCGAAAGCUAGGGGAGCGACCGGGAU